UACGUAGGGUGCAAGCGUUGUUCGGAUUUACUGGGCGUAAAGCGCACGUAGGCGGAUCGUUAAGUCAGGGGUGAAAUCCCAGAGCUCAACUCUGGAACUGCCUUUGAUACUGGGUGUCUUGAGUAUGGAAGAGGUGAGUGGAAUUCCGAGUGUAGAGGUGAAAUUCGUAGAUAUUCGGAGGAACACCAGUGGCGAAGGCGGCUCACUGGUCCAUUACUGACGCUGAGGUGCGAAAGGCGUGGGGAGCAAACAGGG
rnacentral:rRNA from 1 species